rnacentral:lncRNA from 1 species
UUCUCAGGCUAAUUUUCUGCUUUGCACUUGGCGCCGCUAAACCUAACCCUAAUCUUGCCGCCGCUGUCCUCAUCUCCCCAACUCCAAAUACACGCCUAAUUUCUCUUUUCCUUCCUUCUCAAUUCUAAAGGGACCGGGGUUCUCUGAUAAAAAUAACCCCUUAAAGCCCAAUUUGAGUUUCUCUUCUUCUAUGGGCUAACGUAGGCUAUUUGAGAUAGUACGUAUGGGCUAAAUCUCCCUUAUCUGAUCUAACAACUUUAUUGACUUUACUAAAUUGUUUCUCUGCCUCAGCCUUAAAAAAUUUAAAGACGACUACAGCCUGUGACUUUACAGAAAUAAGAAAUACAUGGAGAACCUCGAAAAAAACAUCAAUAAAGGUAAUAAAAUACUGAUUUUUGCAAAGAGUCAGAAGAGGAAAAGGACCACAGAUGUCACUCAUGUCAGUGUGGAUUAAUUCUAAUAGUUCAUGGGCUCCUACAGACCCCUUUUUACUAGAUUUGGUCGUUUUACCCUUAAGACACUCAAUGACACUCAAUGCAGACGUCAAAAUCAGUAAAAUCUAAAGAAGGUAGAAAGUCCACAUUAAGGUCUUACAAUUUCCCACUUGGACUAUCAAUAUUCAAACAACAAGAAAAGCUGCUGCAUCAGAUGUAGCAAAACUGAAGUACGCACAAAAACAUCCAGCACCAUCAAAAUCAUUCCAAAACUCAGUCAUUCUGUAAUCCCCAUUAUAUUGAACCACAGCAAAUCUACACUUAACCAAGAAUUAGCACCCUGCGACUACAAUCCAAUUUCUUACAGAACACAGGAGUAAACUUAAGGCAUAUGAAACAUUAACUUGCUAAACAUAGUGCAAGUAAACUGAUCCAAACUUAAUAGAUUCUCAAUACCUAAGGAAUCUGCAACUUCAAAUACUGAAAAUACAUACAAGUAUACAUUGAAAUUCUGCAAAUAAUGCUAAUGAACUGAAAUAACAACUUUUACUCGAGCAAGAGGAAAAACUACAAUCUAUGCAACAAAGUUUCUGAGCCAAAGUGAGUGCUUGCCCUAUAGCUUCAUGGACAGCAACAUAUUCAGCUUGCAAAGUUAGACUGUUUCACACUCUUCCAAGAUAUUGCCCCUCCGGCCAGCAUAAAAAUAUACCCUGAGGUUGACUUAAGAUCAUCCACACAACCCUUAUAAUCUAAAUCACUGUAUCCAACUACUUCCAAUUCAGUAUCAAGAUUCCUAUAAACCAGCAUGUAAUCCUUUAAAUAUCGACACACAACACUAGAAAUAUGAAUCUACUCCCACUGACCUUCAUAUAUAUGCACUCAUCUAGUCUAUUUUAAGCAAAGCCAAAUGAAGUAAUCACAUAAUCAAACUUAAUAUACCAUGUCACGAAGCCUGUUUUUAAACCAUAGAUUGACUUUCUUAAUCUACAUACCUUUUCUUCAUUCAACUCACCAGACACAUUAUUCUCUACUUCAUUAUACCCAAACCAUUCAUCAAUGUCACUCACACUAUUUCUGCCGGCUUCCAUAUCUAGGUCUAUCUCUAUUGGUCUCCAGAAUUCUAGUAUGGUGAUGUGGGCUGUAGAAUCUAACCCCUUAGAUUUGGUCAAGUAUCCUACAAAGAAAACAAUCGAGGUUCUAGGAUCAAGCUUUCCUGCCUUCGGAUUAUAAAUCCUUGCCUCUGCCUUACAUCCCCACACAUGAAGGUGAUUUAAACUGGGUUUUCUGCCGAACCAUAUCUCAAAGGUGUACUAUUGUUGACUGACUUACUAGAGGUCCUAUUGCAUAUAUAGAUAGCAGUCCUCAAUGCUUCCCCCUCCCCCCCCCCCCCCCAAAACACAAGAAUCUUGGAAGUAUCCCAACUUACUAAUCAUACUUCUAACCAUGUUGAUCAAUGUUCUGUUCCACAUUCUUAAAGAUAAAGAGCAAAAGGUCCCAUAUUCUGUCCAGCAUCUGUAUGCGUACCAUAAUACUCACCUCCCCUAUCUGAUCUAACAACUUUAAUGACUUUACUUAAUUGUUUCUCUGCCUCAUCCAUAAAAAUUUUAAAGACGUCUAAAGCCUGUGACUUUUCAGAAAUAAGAAAUACAUGCAGAACCUCGAAAAAUCAUCAAUAAAGGUAAUAAAAUACUGAUUUUGCAAAGAGUCAGAAGAGGAAAAGGACCACAGAUGUCACUCAUGUCAGUGUGGAUUAAUUUUAAUAGUUCUUGGGCUCCUAACAGAACCUUUUUACUAGACUUGGUCGUUUUACCCUUAAGACACUCAAUGCAGACAUCAAAAUCAGUAAAAUCUAAAGAAGGUAGAAAGUCCACAUUCAGUCUUACAAUUUCCCACUUGGACUAUCAAUAUUCAAACAACAAGAAAAGCUACUGCAUCAGAUAUAGCAAAACUGAAGUCUGCACAAAAACAUCCAGCACCAUCAAAACCAUUCCAAAACUCAGCCAUUCUGUAAUCCCCAUUAUAUUGAACCACAGCAAAUCUACACUUAACCAAGAAUUAGCACCUGCGACUACAAUCCAAUAUCUUACAGAACACAGGAGUAAACUUAAGGCAUAUGAAACAUUAACUUGCUAAACAUAGUGCAAGUAAACUGAUCCAAACUUAAUAGAUUCUCAAUAGCUAAGGAAUCUGCUACUUCAAACACUAAAAAUACAUACAAGUAUACAUUGAAAUUCUGUAACUAAUGCUAAUGAACUAAAAUAACAACUUUUACUCGAGCAAGAGGAAAAAUGCAGAAAACUGAUUCAAUAAUACUACUUUAGUCAGAUAUUUGAAUAAUUAAAAUACAGAUAUUAAGUCUACUGCAAUGCAGGAUUGAACUCUCCCACUAACCUAAGACAUCAAAACUUGGUAAGAUACCCAUAUUUGUAACAUUAUUCUGGAAAGUACUAACUCCUAAGGGUUUUGUAAGUGGAUCUGCCAACUGAUCUUGAGUACGGAUCUUAAAAACAUAAAUCUCAUCAUCUCUUACGCUUUCCCUUGCGGCAUAGUACUUGACGUCAAUAUUAUCACAAUACAACCUAAUCGGUCUCUCGAUAGAGUCUACCACCCCAAUCUAUGCAACAAAGUUUCUGAGCCAAAGUGAGUGCUUGCCCUAUAGCUUCAUGGACAGCAACAUAUUCAGCUUGCAAAGUUAGAGACUGUUUCACACUCUUCCAAGAUAUUGCCCCUCCGGCCAGCAUAAAAUAUACCCUGAGGUUGACUUAAGAUCAUCCACACAACCCUUAUAAUCUAAAUCACUGUAUCCAACUACUUCCAAGUCAGUAUCAAGAUUUCUAUAAACCAGCAUGUAAUCUAGAGGUCCUAUUGCAUAUAUAGAUAGCAGUCCUCAAUGCCUUCCCCCCCCCCCCCCCAAACCACAAGAAUCUUGGUAAGUGUCCCGACUUACUAAUCAUACUUCUAACCAUGUUGAUCAACGUUCUGUUCCACAUUCUUGAAGAUAAAGAGCAAAAGGUCCCAUAUUCUGUCCAGCAUCUGUAUGCCUACCAUAAUACUCACCUCCCCUAUCUGAUCAAACAACUUUAAUGACUUUACUUAAUUGUUUCUCUGCCUCAGCCUUAAAAAUUUUAAAGAGGUCUAAAGCCUGUGACUUUUCAGAAAUAAGAAAUACAGGCAGAACCUCGAAAAAUCAUCAAUAAAGGUUAUUACUGAUUUUUACAAAGAGUCAGAAGAGGAAAAGGACCACAGAUGUCACUCAUGUCAGUGUGGAUUAAUUCUAAUAGUUCUUGGGCUCCUAAGAGACCCCUUUUUACUAGACUUGGUCGUUUUACCCUUAAGACACUCAAUGCAGACGUCAAAAUCAGUAAUAUCUAAAGAAGGUAGAAUGUCCUCUCUCACAAGUAUUUUUAACCUCUCUUUUGAGAUAUGUCCCAACCUUUUAUGCCAAAGAAAAGCUGAAUUCUCAUUGUGUCUAGGUCUCUUAUGUCCUAUAAUCUUUUCUGUCAAAAAUUCCUCAAGUGAAUUUCUACAGUUUAAAUGCCAAUAACCAUCAACAAGAGAUGCAUUACCAAUAAAAUCAGAAAAAUGGAAGAAAUCGAGACUUUUAUUAUCUCCAACAAAAUAAUAACCAUGAGUUUUCACAAAACGAGAUCCUGAAACUAAAUUUCUCUGCAUAGAAGGUAUGCAGUACACAUUCUCCAGAUCUAAAGUAAAGCCACUAGGAAAAACUAGCCUAACUACUUCAAUUGCUUUAACUGCUACUCUGUUUCCAUUCCCUGAGCUAAUCCUAGCUUCAUCCUUAUUUGGGAUCCGAUUUCUUAGAUAUCCUUGCAUAGAGGUAAUGACAUGUAUAGGUGAAGCAGUGUCAACCCACCAAGAACUAGAAGACACACUAACACUGUUAUUUUCUAAAUGAAAAACAGAUUUGUUUUGAAAAAUAUUACCUUUCUUAACAAGCCAGUCUUUAAAACCCUUGCAAUCUUUUUGACAUGACAGGCUUUCGGCAGAAGAAACACUUUACAGAUCCACUCUUAAAAAAUUUUAAAUUGUUAGAUCCCUGAGAAGUUCCCUGAGAAACUUUAGAAGAUGAAGCACCAAAUUGAUUUGACCUAUAGCCGAAUUUCUUUUUAAACUGAGUCUUGCUGACAAGAUUCACUCCAAUGCUCUUCCCUUUCUUAAUUCUAUCCUCUUCUUGAACACAAAUUGAAAUCAAUUCAUUCACAGACCAACUCUCCUUCUGUGUAUUAUAGUUUGACUGCAUCUAACUUAAGCCCAGCAAACAACUAAUAUGAAGAUCAAAACUCAAUUCUCAAAAGACACAAUCUUAAUUAAUCAAAGCAAUGCAUUAUAUAUAAAAGGCUAAGCAGCAGAUAAGCAUGAAUCAUACAACAUGUUUAUAUCAAUUGCAGACACAUAGAAACUUCAUUCAAUUUUACACAGGCAUCAUUCCAAUCCAAAACACAAAAUCAUGCAACUGAAGGUAAGUUUCUUCCGGCAUGCAUCUAGGGUUCUUGUGCUUUAUAGAAAUCAUAGACAUGUUUUGAAUUGAAAACAAAAAUUUCCAGAAAAUCAGAUUUUAAAACCUUAUGCUGUUUCAUACCAAAGUGCGGAAGCAUACCAGGAUACUUUACGUGCUUCUUGUCGAUGAAGGGAGACCCAAUUAGACAGACUGUGGGAUUCUUCGAUCAUGAUCCCAAUUAUGUUGAAGGAAAAUUUAGGCGGAAAAACUUUCAAUCAAGAUCACCAUCGAAGAACCCUAGAAACCCUAGA